UACGGGGGGUGCAAGCGUUGUCCGGAUUUACUGGGCGUAAAGGGCGCGUAGGCGGUUGUAUCAGUCGGGCUUAUAAGUGCGGGGCUCAACCCCGUGAUGGGUUCGGGACGGUAUGACUGGGGCGCGGUCGAGGGAGACGGAAUGCCGGGUGUAGUGGUGAAAUGCGUAGAGAUCCGGCGGAACACCGGUGGUGAAGGCGGUCUCCUGGUCCGAGGGCCGACGCGUGAGGCGCGAGAGCGUGGGGAGCGAACCGG
rnacentral:rRNA from 1 species